UUUAAUUGAAGAGUUUGAUCAUGGCUCAGAUUGAACGCUGGCGGCAGGCUUAACACAUGCAAGUCGAGCGGUAACACA
rnacentral:rRNA from 1 species